rnacentral:rRNA from 1 species
UACAGAGGUCUCAAGCGUUGUUCGGAUUCAUUGGGCGUAAAGGGUGCGUAGGCGGCGCGGUAAGUCGGGUGUGAAAUCUCGGAGCUUAACUCCGAAACUGCAUUCGAUACUGCCGUGCUUGAGGACUGGAGAGGAGACUGGAAUUUACGGUGUAGCGGUGAAAUGCGUAGAUAUCGUAAGGAAGACCAGUGGCGAAAGGCGGGGUCUCUGGACAGUUCCUGACGUGAGGCACGAAGGUCAGGGGAGCAAACGGG